rnacentral:rRNA from 1 species
CCUACGGUUGGCAGCAGUGGGGAAUAUUGGGCAAUGGGCGCGAGCCUGAACCAGCCAAGUCGCGUGAGGGAAGACGGCACUACGGGUUGUAAACCUCUUUUGCCGGGGAGCAACGGGCGCCACGCGUGGCCCCACUGAGAGUACCCGGAGAAAAAGCAUCGGCUAACUCCGUGCCAGCAGCCGCGGUAAUACGGAGGAUGCGAGCGUUACCCGGAUUUAUUGGGUUUAAAGGGUGCGUAGGCGGAGCGUUAAGUCAGUGGUCAAAUGGGGGGGCUCAACCCCUGCCCGCCAUUGAAACUGGCGCUCUUGAGUGGAAGAGAAGUAUGCGGAAGGCGUGGUGUAGCGGUGAAAUGCAUAGAUAUCGCGCAGAACCCCGAUUGCGAAGGCAGCAUGCCGGCUUCCUACUGACGCUGAGGCACGAAAGCGUGGGGAUCGAACAGGAUUAGAUACCCUAGUAGUC